AAGAGUCUCUAAGCUUGGAAGAGUGAGAGAGAUAGAAUUUUGAAAUUCGAAAUUUGAAAAUCUUUGCUCGAUUUGCUUCGAGGGUUCAAGGUUUUUAAUGGCGGGUUACGGAAUUGAAAGCGUGAUUCUAAUUCCGUUGAUUUGAAUUUGGGUUCCGCAACUGAAUUUGUUUUCGUUUGUGUGCUCUUCUUUGUUAUACAUGACUUUGUUUGAUGGCUGCGAUAAUGCCACGUCAUAGUUAUCAUCCGUCUAUCGACGGUCAAUAGAAGGAAUCUAGGUGAAAAAAAGAGAAUAUUACACUCUUAAACACUUUUUUAAAACUAUUUCUGUGUUUAGGCACUUUCAAAAGAUUAGGCACUUUUUUAUGUUUUUUUACUAAAAUACCCUCUUAACUAAAAUAUUAUCUUAACCCACGUUUUCUCUCUUUCUCUCUCUCUCUUCAUCUCUCUCUUUCUCUCUCUCUCUCUCUUCAUCUCUCUCUCUCUCUUCACCUCUCUCUCUCUUCAUCUUUGUAAAAAAUGAGAAGAAACUUCUUCUUCUUCAACAAUGGCGGUUUGAUUUGAUUUUUGCUCUCUCUCAUGUGUCAAACUCGUUUCAUCUACGUAGCAUCGAGAUUUCAGUUAAUCGAAUCUCCUGUUAUCAUGGACAUGUUAUAUAAAAUGGAUAUAGAUCAGUAAAAAGGUUUCCGAAUGGAUAUAUUUAAAUGGAUUCGUUAUUAUGGACACCAAAAAAUUGUUUGUUGAUUUUUUUUUCAGUUUGCAGAGACCUCCACCUUCAAAACCUUAUGGACAUGGAACUUUGGUUUCUUUACAAAACACGGUUAAUCGAAUCUCCUAUUAUUAUUGACAUGGUAUAUAGAAUGGAUACGGAUCAGUAGAAAGGUUUCUGAAUGGAUAUAUUUAAAUGGAUUUGUUAUUAUGGAUACCAAAAAAUUAUUUGUAGCAAAUCAACCGCAUAUAGCUUGUUUUUAGGAUGUUAGACAUGCUUCUCCAAUUCUUCAUCUUUUACUCUUAACAUGUAAGACCAAAAGAUUUACAAAUCUCACCAUAUCAAUCCAUAAUAUACAAUCCAUGAUGCGUCAUCCAUAAUAUGUCAUCCAUGAUUCAUCAUCCAUAAUGUGCCAUCCAUAAUUUGCCAUCCAUAAUGGACAUCACCAAUAACAAACGCCGUAAGAGCUACAAACACAUCCUUAGCCACCAAUGAAGAUUUACCAAACACAAAUAAUUCCAAUGAACAAGAUUUCAACAAGAACACAAAUUCUUUUUAAGAAAACACAAAUAACCCUAGUCAUACAGAAUUACUCGCCAAAUCAAUGAGAACACAAAUGCCUUGUAAUAAAUCACAAAUAACCCUAAUCAUCUAGAAUUAGUCGCCAAAUCUUACUUAAAUUAGAUCCAUCUUGAUAUCUCUUCUAAUCUAUGUUGUAUGCUUAGUUGUUUCCUAUUGAUUCCCAACUUGAUUAAAAACGAAAUCACCAAACAUAGCCAAAGAAUUCGCCAGAACUCCAUGACACUCUUCCGUAGCCAAAGAAUCGUUCAUCAUAAACAAACAAUCAAAU
rnacentral:sRNA from 1 species